ACAAGUCUUUUUUUUUUUCUGCUUAUGUAAAGUCUACAGAAAAAUCCUAUCAAGUUUGGGCCAAGCCAAUUUAUUUUCCAAAUAAUGAACACUAAAUAUCAACUACUUUGAGAAAUUCAUCACGUUUCCCAUAAUUGGUUUAGCCCACCUGUUGCUAAAUAUAAUCAACCAGAAUCACAAACAUCAUGAACUGAGAAGGCAAUACUUGGCUCAGGUGUUGCAGAUGCUUCCAAAACAAGGGGAGGCAGCAUCAAGAGUUCAGUGAAGCAAGGACCAGAGUUCAAUUCCCAGUACUAAAUAAAACAAACAAAUACACA
rnacentral:lncRNA from 1 species